AUGGAUAAGGGAUCCAACCUCACGAUUGACAAUCACAGUCCAGAAUCUCUGCUGCUGUCCGAGGGCGGAGCUAAAGGUGUCCGGUCACAAGUCCAGCUGCUGGAGUCCGGCGGGGAUGUGAAAAAGCCUGGAGACUCCCUCAGACUGACCUGUACCACCUCAGGGUUCAGCAUAGACAGCUACUGGAUGCACUGGCUCCGCCAGGCUCCCGGGCAGGGGCUGCAGUGGGGAUCAGCAAUUCUGGGAUCAACCACCUAUUACGGAGAUUCCGUGAAAGGGCGAUUCACCACCUCUACAGACAGCUCCAAGAAGCUGAUCUACCUGCAACUGAAGCCCGAGGACACCGGCCGGUAUCACUGUGUCAGAGAAAGACACAGUGAGGCGAAGCCGGGCUGA